rnacentral:rRNA from 1 species
UACGUAGGGGGCUAGCGUUGUCCGGAAUCAUUGGGCGUAAAGGGCGCGUAGGCGGCCUGCUAAGUCGAACGUGAAAUCCCUGGGCUCAACCCAGGAACUGCGUCCGAUACUGGUUGGCUUGAAUCCGGGAGAGGGAUGUGGAAUUCCAGGUGUAGCGGUGAAAUGCGUAGAUAUCUGGAGGAACACCGGUGGCGAAGGCGACAUCCUGGACCGGUAUUGACGCUGAGGCGCGAAAGCCAGGGGAGCAAACGGG